UACGUAGGGUGCAAGCGUUAAUCGGAAUUACUGGGCGUAAAGCGUGCGCAGGCGGUUUUGUAAGUCAGAGGUGAAAUCCCCGGGCUUAACCUGGGAACUGCCUUUGUGACUGCAAGGCUUGAGUGCGGCAGAGGGGGAUGGAAUUCCGCGUGUAGCAGUGAAAUGCGUAGAUAUGCGGAGGAACACCGAUGGCGAAGGCAAUCCCCUGGGCCUGCACUGACGCUCAUGCACGAAAGCGUGGGGAGCAAACAGG
rnacentral:rRNA from 1 species